UACGUAGGGUGCAAGCGUUGUCCGGAAUUAUUGGGCGUAAAGAGCUCGUAGGCGGUUUGUCGCGUCGAAUGUGAAAACCCGGGGCUCAACCCCGGGCCUGCAUUCGAUACGGGCAGACUAGAGUUCGGUAGGGGAGUCUGGAAUUCCUGGUGUAGCGGUGAAAUGCGCAGAUAUCAGGAGGAACACCGGUGGCGAAGGCGGGACUCUGGGCCGAUACUGGCGCUGAGGAGCGAAAGCGUGGGGAGCGAACAGG
rnacentral:rRNA from 1 species